GCUGCGCGCGUUUCUGGCCCUGCCAGUGUCUCCGCCGGUUGAAAGCGCGUGUCUGCGUCGGGUUCUGUUGGAGUGCGUUCGGUGCGCCGUGGGUCCGCGCUGCUUCCACCCAACUUCCUGUUAGUUUCUCUCCUGUCACAAUGGCAUGAUCUCGGCUCACUGCGACCUCUGCUUCCUGGGUUCAAGGAUUCUCCUGCCUCAGCCUCCCAAGUAGCUGGGAUUACAGGUUACAUUAGUUAUACACUCUGGAGGUGACUUGACCUGUCAUUGUGAACAAUUAUUGCUCUUGGACGACCCAGGACAUAGGCCAGCCAGUACGUACCCCAGUGUGUUGGAGAAUCGCGCUCGGCUUCUUCCUCUGUGCUGAGUCAUGAAAGUUGCCGGAGCAGGUGCAGUUACACAACCUCCAGACAUCUAGGCUUGCUGUCAAGGCUUCUGAUCAACAUGAGAUGACCGCCGUGUGGUAAACUGAUGAACCCUGACCCUGAUCAACAUGAGAUGACCGCCGUGUGGUAAACUGAUGAACCCCGACCCUGAUGAACGUGAGAUGACCGCCGUGUGGUAAACUGAUGAACCCCGACCCUGAUGAACGUGAGAUGACCGCCGUGUGGUAAACUGAUGAACCCCGACCCUGAUGAACGUGAGAUGACCGCCGUGUGGUAAACUGAUGAACCCCGACCCUGAUGAACGUGAGAUGACCGCCGUGUGGUAAACUGAUGAACCCCGACCCUGAUCAACGUGAGAUGACCGCCGUGUGGUAAACUGAUGAACCCCGACCCUGAUGAACAUGAGAUGACCGCCGUGUGGUAAACUGAUGAACCCCGACCCUGAUCAACAUGAGAUGACCGCCGUGUGGUAAACUGAUGAACCCCGACCCUGAUCAACAUGAGAUGACUGCCGUGUGGUAAACUGAUGAACCCUGACCCAUUAGGCUUUGGCUACAGAAUGUGGAAAUAAGUUGUGUUACUACAUGUGUGUAAUCCUAGGGUGCAGGACACCGGCCGGGAGGUUCCAUAGAGUGAUGGGUUCUGCAGGUAACUCAUCCUCUAGUCCUCUGUAAGCUCCUAGAAGGAAGAAAUUAUGUCCUUUAGACUAAUAAAAUUCCUCCAAACCAAAUACAGCACCUACUGUGAAGACACAAAGAUACUUUUAGAAUAGUAAAAACUUUAUCCAUUGAGAAAUUCCUUAAUGAAACAGUAUCCAAGAAGUCAUUUGCCAGCAGAUUUCUUAGAGGUGCGAUAAAGAAGAGGACAUUGCCAGUCGUCACAGCAGCUGCAAUAGCUCCUCUCUAUUGUUAAACAGUGGGAUAUCUUGUGCAGGUUUUCAGUUGACAAUCAAUUUUAAAGAUUAGUUUCGGUCCCCAUCAAUCAAUUAUUUAUUAACCCAUCAAUAAAAAUUUAAAUGCUCUGUGAGGUACAAUA
rnacentral:lncRNA from 1 species